rnacentral:rRNA from 1 species
UACAGAGGUCUCAAGCGUUGUUCGGAUUCAUUGGGCGUAAAGGGUGCGUAGGUGGCGCGCUAAGUCAGGUGUGAAAUUUCGGAGCUUAACUCCGAAACUGCAUUUGAUACUGGCGUGCUUGAGGACUGGAGAGGAGACUGGAAUUCAUGGUGUAGCAGUGAAAUGCGUAGAGAUCGUAAGGAAGACCAGUGGCGAAGGCGGGUCUCUGGACAGUUCCUGACACUGAGGCACGAAGGCCCAGGGGAGCAAAACGGG